rnacentral:lncRNA from 1 species
CUUGGUGUGAAAGCAACUGGCGGAAGCACAUCAUGCUCUUGUGCCUGAGACCGUCUUUUUAUUUGAAUAAUCUCAGCUCAUGUGGGAAAACUAAAGCAUGAUGGCACGAACUUCAGAAGAUGUCAUGUACUCAAAGAUGACUUGAAUUCGAUGGUUCUACAAAACAGAUAAAAAUAAAGAUCAUUAUUCUAUGGAUAAGUAAGGAAAAGGGAACAAAUAAUAAACAUCUACUUCGGAUUAGCUAGUGUUAAUAAACCAUUAAAGAUUACUGAGUGUACAAAAAAUGAUGUGCGGUCAGACUAUCGAUACUCUUUAGCCUAUAUAACCUAGGUGUACGUCAUCCCUUUCUCUACAAAGUACAAUCUAGCAGUCCUUUAUUGUUAUUGUUGAAUCAAGAAAGCAAUGGAAUGAUAAAUGGAUACAUUGAACUUACACGAAAGGCCACCAGAUAUCUCAAAGAAAAGAUUGCUGAUGUAAACAUGUCUAUGCCAACCUGUGGAUAUUUAUUUGAGUAGAUGUCACUAAUUUCAAAAGUUAAUAUCUGGUAUAGGGGAAAUUCAUGUAGGUAGUAAUGUGGUGGUGGAACUGAAUUAUACAAUAAAUGCAUAUGCAUAUAUGAAACACAAUCUCUGUCUGUUGUCUAAAUAUAUGAAAUCUGCUUAUAAUCUUGAUCCAGAGCAGCCAGUAGGUCUCUAAGCUGCUUCUUUAAAAAGGAAGAUAACCAAAAAACUAAUAAUGAUUGUAGCUACAUCUUUAAUCUGUGAAGUGAUACACAUAGCCAAAGGCCCUUGAAGAUCACAUGGCUAAGGAGCAUGUCAAUAUCAGCUUUUAUGCAAGUAGAAGCAGCACACUUCAUUCACACUGCACUAUGAUAGCAGUAUGUAUACAUUGUGUAGAUACCAUUACUGAAGUAUAGUGAUAAGAAAAGAAACAUGAUUACUGCACAUUAUUUAUUCGUAAUUUAUUAUAUUUGAAGCCCCACAGAAAAAAUAAAUAAGUUGUAAAGAUCACCAUGUACGUUGAUAUGUUCACUAAAUCCUGAACUAUAGUCAGUUCAUAAUUUAAAAGCAUUAUCUCAGGGGCUUGAACUAAAAAAAAUGAAGAACCAAAUAUUAACUACAUGGGCGGGUUCACAACAUAUAUAUAGCAGCAACUCUUAUAGAUCCUUCCUAAUACAGACAAUAGAAAUAUUUUGGAGAGGGUAUUGAAGAUAAAUUAAAUUUAUUUGGUUCCUAGCCAUUUAUGUGGGGUUACAUGAUGUAUUCAACGGCCAUGAGAAUAGUGCAAGGAAUUUAAUGAUACAAAGCUAUACAUGGAAUUUAAGGAUAAAGAGUUACUUGUCUGCUGAGUGGGUUCAGAGCGACGAACGUGAAUGGUGUCAAGGAGGUCAACAGUCACACUGCCAGAUCACUGCAGUUCCAUUGCUCGACACCAUACAUAGAGAGAUGAUACGAGUUUUCUGCUCUAUGAGCUAAAGUUCUGCAGUAGAGACACGAAUCGGAAUGUACAUCAGGAAUUGGGUAAUCAGGGUAUUGCGGAAAAGAAGGCAACAUUGUAUGGCAUGUCUAGCCGUUCGACUCCCAUUUCACUCCGGGGCACCUGAGUCUAGGGCAUGCAUGUAUACAUCAAUCUCAUACCCUGCAGUCCUGCACACAUGCAACAGACAAGGACUCAGCACAGAAUAUUAUACAUACUUAAACCAAGAAAUGAGACUGCAAUAAGCGAAUCUGAAUCAUUCAAACCUGACAAAAAUACAGCUUCUAGCCAAGUAGCCUGAUAGUCCGGAUGGACAGCAACAUGAUUGUGAUAGCUGUCAUUGUUGCCCAUAAGCAACCAAGUGAUGUGGCGGUAAGUGCCCACGAGCCGAAGCUCAAGCACAGGAAUCGCUCGUACAGGCAUACUAAUAAGAAACUGUCCAUUUACAGCAACGUUAACAAAAAUUCUUGGGUCUCCAAAAGAUGCCCUGCCUACUGAAAGAGCACGAAGACCAAAAGGGAACCACUCAUGAGAAUGUGUGGUGGUAACAAAGACCACAAGAAGGUCCAGAAGAAUUUGGAAAAAAGAAAGCCCUAUGAUUACCCAGGCGAUGUUUCUACUUCUAUCUGCCCCACUUGCUCGGAUUGCUUCGAGCAUCGACAGGCACAGAUGGUUGGGGCCUGAAAAUGGCACACUAGAUUGAGUAUCUUGCAAUGCAAGCAAAGCACUGGGGUAUAAGUAAAGAAAUGGCGAGCACCUUUUUGCAUCGGAGGUCUGUCAGGCAAUGGUAAGUUAUCUUUCUCCAUGGAACUGCCAAGUUGUGGUGAAUUGUCCUUUUCAGCAACAGACUCAUUAACUGAUCCUACUGUUUCAAUGGCCUGUGAGAAGAAACACACAUAAAUAAGCAUAGAAGGAAGGAGAAGUUUGAAAAUACAGAUGAUCUGGAAGUUACCAAGCUCUCUUUGUCUGUGUCAACAAACUGCUUUGUCUUUAAAAAGAAUGCACUGAGAUUUUGCACUAACAUACUUGAACAGCUUCAGAGAUUCCAGUAAUCACUCUAAUGACAUCUACGCAAGCAAAGAAGAGUUAUUAUAAAAUCACCACCAAACAAACGAGAGAAAAGAUGAUUAGUCACAAAAUCACUUGUAAAGCGUUCAGGCAUAUCUGUAGGCCUAGGGAGCUGAGCUAUUGGAGUCAAUGCAUACGUACAGAAGGGGAACUCUGCUUCCAUUCCAGUUCUCUCCACAAGUUCAGUGCGCUUUAUAAACUUAAUCAUUAAAUGACCUUCCACUGGUCUAAAAACAUACUUCCACGGGAAUACCAGGAACUUCUGAAACUCGACGGUGUACAAAA